rnacentral:misc_RNA from 1 species
GUGUCAUUUUUUUUUUACAUCAAAAAAAUCAUAUAAUCCUAAUAUUAUCCUAUUUGAUUUCUUACAAAAUAAACAUUGUUAUAGGAAAUAUAAAGGUCCAUUGCCUAAUAUGAGUCAUCGGGAAUUGAUGAGAUGUUAUAAUUCAAAAUUCCCAUACUGGUUCUUUAAUCAUGCACAUGAACUUAUCUAAUAUGCUUGAUUUUAAUGAGUACAUUACUUUAUUCAUAUAAUUCAAUAUAAAUAACUAUAUAUCCACAUGAUUUGAUGAUAAACUUCUAGGUGGUUGAGUUACAUGCGUAAGGAGCAAUUUCUAAUGACUUACU